rnacentral:rRNA from 1 species
UAACACAUGCAAGUGGAGCGACGAACCGGGGCUUGCCCCGGGGCAGAGCCGCGAACGGGUGAGUAACACGUGGGUUACCUGCCCCAAUGACCGGGACAACCCGAGGAAACUCGGGCUAAUACCGGAUGUGGUCUUCGGACGAAAGGAAGCUUCGGCCUCCGCAUUGGGAUGGGCCCGCGGCGCAUUAGCUUGUUGGUGGGGUAACGGCCUACCAAGGCGACGAUGCGUAGCUGGUCUGAGAGGACGAUCAGCCACACUGGGACUGAGACACGGCCCAGACUCCUACAGGAGGCAGCAGUGGGGAAUCUUGCGCAAUGCGCGAAAGCGUGACGCAGCAACGCCGCGUGGGGGAAGAAGGCCUUCGGGUUGUAAACCUCUUUCAGUUGGGACGAAGCUUCGCGGGUUAAUAGCCUGCCGGAGUGACGGUACCUUCAGAAGAAGCCCCGGCUAACUACGUGCCAGCAGCCGCGGUAAUACGUAGGGGGCAAGCGUUGUCCGGAAUCAUUGGGCGUAAAGAGCGUGUAGGCGGCCCGAUAAGUCCGCUGUGAAAGUCCAGGGCUCAACCCUGGAAUGCCGGUGGAUACUGUCGGGCUCGAAUCCGGAAGAGGUGAGUGGAAUUCCUGGUGUAGCGGUGAAAUGCGCAGAUAUCAGGAGGAACACCAAUGGCGAAGGCAGCUCACUGGGACGGUAUUGACGCUGAGACGCGAAAGCGUGGGGAGCAAACAGGAUUAG